rnacentral:rRNA from 1 species
GACGUAGGGUGCGAGCGUUGUCCGGAUUUAUUGGGCGUAAAGAGCUCGUAGGCGGCUUGUUGCGUCGGCUGUGAAAACCCAUGGCUCAACCGUGGGCUUGCAGCCGAUACGGGCAGGCUAGAGUUCGGUAGGGGAGACUGGAAUUCCUGGUGUAGCGGUGAAAUGCGCAGAUAUCAGGAGGAACACCGGUGGCGAAGGCGGGUCUCUGGGCCGAUACUGACGCUGAGGAGCGAAAGCGUGGGGAGCGAACAGG